rnacentral:misc_RNA from 1 species
GAGAGAGAGAGAGAGAGCAAUUUGAAAUAUCACUUCUAUGCCAAAUAUUAUCAGGUUCAUUGGCUUGGUACUGAAACUUAUUUCUGAUGGCCAGUCGGUGACAAUAACCUCAUCCGCAAGUUUCGCUGGGCAAUUUCGGGAAAAUACUAAUCUCUUUCUGAAAUUUUGACAUAAAUAACAAAACUAACUAAAAGCAAGUGGACUGGCCCUUCUGCUAUAAUAAUUUCAAAUCUCAAGUUUUAGAACACCUGACGAUCUUUCAUUAUAUCAUCAUGAUUAACAAAGCCCGAUGAUUGUUGAUUCACAGUUUAGUUACAGUUCUAUUUGAUAUUCUUUCUUAUUGAUGUGUUGGGAUUGUCUCAAUUCAGAGAGAAGAUGGAGAUGAA